AAAAAGUCAAACCCUAAGUUUUCGUGUUCAACGUUUGACUGUCCGUCUUAUAUAAUUUUUUUUGUAAUUAGUAUUUUUAUUGAUGUUAGAUGAUAAAACAUAAUUAAUACUUUAUACGUGACUUGUCUUUUUAAUUUUUUUUAUAAUUUUUUCAAAUAAGACGAACGGUCAAAUAUUGGACAUGAAAAUCGAUUCUGACG
rfam:Oryza sativa Japonica Group DNA, chromosome 2, cultivar: Nipponbare, complete sequence.